UACGGAGGGAGCAAGCGUUAUCCGGAUUCACUGGGUUUAAAGGGUGCGUAGGUGGGCAAGUAAGUCAGUGGUGAAAUCUCCGGGCUUAACCCGGAAACUGCCAUUGAUACUAUUUGUCUUGAAUACUGUGGAGGUCAGCGGAAUAUGUCAUGUAGCGGUGAAAUGCUUAGAUAUGACAUAGAACACCAAUUGCGAAGGCAGCUGGCUACACAAAUAUUGACACUGAGGCACGAAAGCGUGGGGAUCAAACAGG
rnacentral:rRNA from 1 species